rnacentral:sRNA from 1 species
GGGAGUGGUUUGAUGUGAAGGUUUUUUUUUCCUUCAGGCAUUGAAAAGAAAAAAGAUGAAAUAUAUGUUUAUAUAUAACUCUCUACAUACCUCACUGAAGUCAAAAUGCAUUUAAUUGUGUACGUAUCUUUUAAAUGAGGAACGGUACUGGAUUUUUUUCUUCUUUCUUAAAAAAAGUGACAGAAAUCCUAGUGACUUUGGGGGGGAGAGAUAUGAAUAGAUACGAUGAUUGAGUUUUUUUUCAAAGGAGUCCAUGUUUGAUUCUCUCCUUCACCCAGCAUUCUCAGUGGUUUGUAAUUGUCAGUUUUAUCUCUACUUUUUCCCUUCCUCUCCUGCAGUUGCUUGCUUGUAAAAUCAUCUGACUUGAGAAAUUAAUUUGGUGGUGAAUAGGACAGAUUUUUAGAAGAAAGAGGAGAGGGUCAGAUCUGAAGAUUGUGAAAUUCUUUUCUCCUGUUGCAGCGAACACCUCUUCCUCCAUGACCUUCGACACUGAUAAAAGUGGAAGAAACUGAGGCACGGGGAGAGAAAGGCAGCUGAGAAGAGAGGAAUGAGAAAUGCUCACCCUCCCCUAGUCAACCCCGUGAUGUUACCUGGAUGACAGCACACACUCCUUGGUCUCUUCACUGAAACCUAUGUCACGGAAAGACAUGGCCACACCUGGGGGAGUGACCUGCCGUGAGGAUGUAGGUGGACGUCAUGAAUGACAUACAAGCUGUACUUACCGGCAUGUGGAGCAGGGAAUCUGACACCUGGAUAGCUCCCUCUAGCCUCUGAGGGCACUGAACACGUGACUGAGCCAACACAGGGCUGUUGGAAUUGAACCUUGUCCUCUGGAAGAGCAGCCAGACCUCUUAACUGCUGAGCCAUCUCUCCAGCCCCAUGGUAAGAGUUUACUCCUUAACUCUAAGGAAGCCUCUCGAAACUUUAGGAGUUUAAUGACUACCCACCUACUGUAUAAAAGUUGAAGUAGGAUGGCAAGUUUAAAAGUCCCAAACUUCACCCAAUCUCCUAAUAAACUUUUGUUUGUUUGUUUGAAGUUAUUUCUCCACCAGAGAAAUGAGCCAGUUUAAGCCAGAUUAGUGUGUAUUAAAGGUUUAUUGGGAAGCUGCUUGCUCAUGUUCACUGGCUCCAAGGACCGAGGCCAGAGGAGACACCAUGGAAGGGAGACAGUGGGGAGGAGAGAAGAGAAGUAGAAGAAGAAAGAGAGCAGGGAGACCAAAAUGACUGGAUCAUAUAGAGAAGAGCCUCUGUGGGAAGGGGGCCCAGGUCACAGUUGGGGUAGGAUCUGCCAGGUAGGGAAUGAGGGUUGCCAUAGGAUAUGCGCCUUGGUCCCUUGUCCCGGGGCCUGAACCAAGCGUUGCUUUGUUUUGCUUUUCCUGUGCAGCCCUGGCUUUCCUGGAGCUCAAGAGACCAGCCUGCUUCUGCCUCCUGAGU